GCCAACCUCAAAAGUAUUACUCCGAAGUUCUCUCUUGUUAAUUUGUGAAAAUUUAUCAAUCUUCCAGGUAUAUUUUCCAUAUAGCUCAACCGGUUUAGGUCCACAAUCAUCUUCGUCAUCACUGUCCCAGUAUGGAGGUGAUGUUGACGGAGUUCCAUUUUCCAUCUGCUCACAGUACCUUCGUUCUGCCAACGUUUCACUAUAUUGACACCGCUGCUGCCCCUUUGACACUCCCUCCAGAGACUUCCCUAUUCCUGCCUCCUCGCUUGCGCUUGAAGCCAUUUCUCACUCCACCAACUUCACCUGAAUUAAAAAAAGAGAGGUGUGUCAAUGGCGGAAUGGCAGCUAAGGAGAAA
rnacentral:misc_RNA from 1 species